CCUACGGGAGGCAGCAGUGAGGAAUAUUGGUCAAUGGGCGUAAGCCUGAACCAGCCAAGUAGCGUGAGGGAUGAAGGUUCUAUGGAUCGUAAACCUCUUUUAUAAGGGAAUAAAGUGUGGGACGUGUCCUAUUUUGUAUGUACCUUAUGAAUAAGGAUCGGCUAACUCCGUGCCAGCAGCCGCGGUAAUACGGAGGAUCCGAGCGUUAUCCGGAUUUAUUGGGUUUAAAGGGUGCGUAGGCGGGUUGUUAAGUCAGCGGUGAAAGUCUGCGGCUCAACCAUAGAAUUGCCGUUGAUACUGGGGGGCUUGAGUAUGUUUGAGGCAGGCGGAAUGCGUGGUGUAGCGGUGAAAUGCUUAGAUAUCACGAAGAACCCCGAUUGCGAAGGCAGCCUGCCAAGCUAUGACUGACGCUGAUGCACGAAAGCGUGGGGAUCAAACAGGAUUAGAUACCCCUGUAGUC
rnacentral:rRNA from 1 species